AUGCCCCUGGACUUCACCAAGCACUUCGUCGCGGUGCCGACGGAGUUCAAGCUCAGGAACAACACCGGCUGCUCCUGGAAGGUGAUGGUCAAGCUGAUGAACGGCAGGAUGACCGUGGAUUAGGGUUAGGCCACCUAUGCAGUUGUUCAUCAGAUCAAGAUCGGCUACAUGGUCACGUUCAAGCUCCUCACUCCCGACACCCUCAAGGUCAUCAUCUUCGACGACGAUGGCAUUGAGAUCGUCAACAAGUGCGGGAAGCACGACGAAGCCUUCGCCGGCAAGGGGUAG
rnacentral:rRNA from 1 species